UGUUGACAUAAGUAUGUAUGAUUGACUGUGAUGUAUUCUGUACUGUAUAUCUGUUCCACACCACAAGGGGGCGUUAUCAGUUUGAUAACGAUGUGAUAUGAUUGAUGACGUCAUGCCCCUUAUUAAUAUGAAUGUUCCGGACUUCAUCAUUCUCUUAGCCCGCUCCCAACAUGAAGGCUGGAAGAGCAGUUUAGUUAUUCACUAUAAAAUAAAUAUGCCUUGAGGCUGAAGAUUAAAACUCGUCUCGUCUACUUUUCUGUUGUUGCACUGUUGGACUCCUGUUGUGUUAGUAGUGCUCCUGCUAACAGUUCCGCUAUCGCUAUUUGUUGAGAUAGAUAUCCGAUAACCCUUGACAUGACAUGUUAAGGUUUCAAGUAAAAUGUGUGUGCAGUGGAUUUGCUUACUACUACUAUUCCUUGGUUGAUUAUACCGGUGCACUGCUUUGAUAUCGGUAAAGCUGCCACCUAGGCUACGUCACUCGCCUGUCAAACUGAAGAUUUCCUUUCCUCUUUUACCUCAGGGACACCAGACCAGACGGCUCAUUAAUUUCAGAGCGACCAGGGAAAAUGAGUUCCUAAAAUCAAAAAUGAUCGCCAGAAAACAGUGGGAGCUUUAUCUGGAAGUAAUGGGGAUGGAGGGGAAAGUGACCAGGCAACAGGCUUCUAAGAAGUGGGAGAACCUUAAAAAGAAGUGCAUGGAUUUGAGGACUCCCAAAACUGGGUCGGGGGCUGAAAGUGGAGAGGUGACUGUGGCGACGUGGCAGUAUUUUGACUUGAUGCACGAG